UCGUGGAAAUGAACGUUCCCCUUGUUAACCCUGAGAUAGCAUUUCCAUCUCUUGGUAGCGACCCUCAUCAAGAAUUUUUGGAGUUAAGUGGAUCGGAUCACCAAGAUUUCGUGGUGAAUUUUAAAGGUGAAACUAUCAGCCUGAAAAACCUGACAAAGCUAUUGCGUCACCAUAACGUUACUCUACGACAGGAGGACAGAUAUCUUGCUGAAGCGCUUAGGCAAAAAAAUGCUUCAGAACAAUCGUGCGGAGGCAGAUGCUUAUAGGUAGAAAGAGGAGAGGCCAACAAGUGUUUCUGUGAUAAGGUUUGCAGAGAACUCGGUGAUUGCUGCUUGGACUUCUAUUCACGAUGUGACCUACGUCCCAGAGGACUCUUGACCUCAGAGCCCACUCCACGGCAGAACGU